GGCCACCAUGCCCCACCACGCUGUGACAUCCGUCACCCCAUUGAUUGCCAGGGUUGAUUCAGCUGUUCUGGCUGGCUGGGCAGGUGUCCCCUUCCUCCCUCACUGCUCCAUGUGCGCCCCUCCCGAAGCUGCUGCAUGCUCUGUCGAAGAGGAUGACCUUCCCCAAUAGAGGAGGUCCGGUUUUCAGUCAAGGGUAUAAGAGUAGCUGUGCUCACCUGCUAGAACCUCCAAACAGUUUAUCUUAUCAGUAAGUGACAGAAACGAUUGUAGCCUCGGCGGUCAAGAAAGAAACAAGGCACAGGAUCAGCUCUUAAAAGGCUCACUGUUU
ensembl:misc_RNA Gm25319 predicted gene, 25319